rnacentral:rRNA from 1 species
ACUAGCAGUAAGAGUUUGAUCAUGGCUCAGAGCGAACGCUGGCGGCAGGCCUAAUACAUGCAAGUCGAACGCACCUUCGGGUGAGUGGCGGACGGGUGAGUAACGCGUGGGAACGUGCCCUUUGGUUCGGAACAACACAGGGAAACUUGUGCUAAUACCGAAUGUGCCCUUCGGGGGAAAGAUUUAUCGCCAUUGGAGCGGCCCGCGUUGGAUUAGCUAGUUGGUGGGGUAAAGGCCCACCAAGGCGACGAUCCAUAGCUGGUCUGAGAGGAUGAUCAGCCACACUGGGACUGAGACACGGCCCAGACUCCUACGGGAGGCAGCAGUAGGGAAUCUUGCGCAAUGGGCGAAAGCCUGACGCAGCCAUGCCGCGUGAAUGAUGAAGGUCUUAGGAUUGUAAAAUUCUUUCACCGGGGAAGAUAAUGACGGUACCCGGAGAAGAAGCCCCGGCUAACUUCGUGCCAGCCGCCGCGGUAAUAC